UACGUAGGAGGCAAGCGUUGUCCGGAAUUACUGGGCGUAAAGCGCGUGUAGGUGGUGGGACAAGUCUGCUGUGAAAGCGCCUGGCUUAACCGGGCGAGGUCGGCGGAAACUGUCCGACUCGAGGACGGUAGAGGGGGGUGGAAUUCCCGGUGUAGUGGUGAAAUGCGUAGAUAUCAAGAGGAACACCAGUGGCGAAGGCGAGUCCCUGGACAACUUCUGACGCUGAGGCACGAAAGCUAGGGGAGCAAACAGG
rnacentral:rRNA from 1 species